rnacentral:tRNA from 1 species
ACGGGAGUAGCGUAAUCAGUCUUCCAAACUGAUUACGCGGGUUCGAUUCCCGUCAUCCGCU